UGGGAAUUAUGAAAAGCAGGUGGCUUUGUUGUAAUGGACAACCCUUCACGUUUUCCUGUGAAAUUUAAGAAUCGGAAAACAAUGAAAAGAAUAGUUGUGAAAUCUCCAUCAUGAGCUCUUGGAAAUGGUGAGUGCCACAGCAAACUGUUUGCAGUGAUUCUUGUACCUUUGGGAUUGGCUACCACUCAAUGUGGGUACGAAUAAAAGAGGCUGAGAGGCAUAAUGCUAAAUAAAUUGGCGCUAAAGCGAAUUUGGAGAACCUUUUUCUUUCAUCAGCAAAUGAAAAGGCUGACCUUUUUGCUAACACCAACGCUGACCUUUUGAGCGUUGACCUUUUUUACUCCCAAUGUUUAACCUACCCUAACGGCGAUAAAAGCUGACGUGACAAAUUCACAAUGCUUCUUUGAGUUUAUCAAGGUUAUGCCGCCAUCACUCUUCUCCUUCCAGUUUCGGAUACGGAAUCUGCCGCUGCGAGUGCCAUCCACCACUCUCGGAACAAUCCGUGUCAUGAACAACAACCGCCACCGCACUGCGGAUAGCAGAGUUGAAUCCAAUCCUCGCGUACAUAAACUCCAACAACUCGUUAACACCAAUGCUUCUGGUGGUUGGGAAGAGUCCUGGAAGCAGGGAGUCACCCCUUGGGAUUUAGGUCGCCCUACACCUGUUAUUUCACAUCUCCAUCACACAGGAUCCCUCCCCAUGGGCAGGGUUCUCGUCCCUGGAUGUGGCACUGGCUAUGAUGUGGUGGAGAUGGCAUGCCUUGGACGCUACGUUGUUGGACUGGACAUAUCCGAGGAGGCGAUAAAGAAAGCAAAGCAGAUGUCUUCCACGUUACCAAAUGCAGAUUAUUUUACCUUCAUAAAGGCAGAUUUUUUCACCUGGCACCCAACAGACUUGUUUGAUCUUAUUUUUGAUUAUACGUUUUUUUGUGCCAUUGAGCCAGAUAUGAGAUCAGCAUGGGCACAGCAAAUCAAAAAUUUCUUAAAACCAGAUGGAGAGCUUAUUACAUUGAUGUUUCCAAUGGAUGAUCAUGCUGGCGGACCCCCGUAUAAAGUAUCAAUUGCAGACUAUAAAGAGGUGUUGCACCCAAUGGGCUUUGAGGCAAUAUCCAUCGUUGAUAAUAAAUGGGCGAUUGAAGUUAGAAAGGUAUGUUAACAUGGUUUCAGUCAGUAGCUUUUCUGCAGUUCUGCACCCGGGUUGUUCCUUGGAUGUAUGCCAUAGUAAGACCAUAUCUAGCAGCUUGGAAGAGAGAAGCUUGGAAGAUGGAAAAGAGCUCUAGGUCAGUCGUCCCUGUGAUAACGAUGGUUGGCUAUUGAGAAGCGGGUGCUUGAGUUAGGAGAAUGAUCGAUUUCAUUCACACAGUUUAUAUGAAAUUGGAAGACAUACGGAUGAUACAUGUUAUGUGAUAUUUGAUGUCCUUCUUUUACCUUUAAAUAAAAGGGAAAAAAAAGAAAAAGGCAUUUGUUUUAGGUACCGAAAUCACCAGUUAAAGUGUUGCAUGCUGAGUAAAUUAAUUGUCGUUGGAUUU